rnacentral:rRNA from 1 species
AGAGUUUGAUCAUGGCUCAGAUUGAACGCUGGCGGCAUGCCUUACACAUGCAAGUCGAACGGCAGCAUGAUCUAGCUUGCUAGAUUGAUGGCGAGUGGCGAACGGGUGAGUAAUACAUCGGAACGUGCCCUGUAGUGGGGGAUAACUAGUCGAAAGAUUAGCUAAUACCGCAUACGACCUGAGGGUGAAAGUGGGGGACCGCAAGGCCUCAUGCUAUAGGAGCGGCCGAUGUCUGAUUAGCUAGUUGGUGAGGUAAAGGCUCACCAAGGCGACGAUCAGUAGCCGGUCUGAGAGGACGAUCAGCCACACUGGGACUGAGACACGGCCCAGACUCCUACGGGAGGCAGCAGUGGGGAAUUUUGGACAAUGGGGGCAACCCUGAUCCAGCAAUGCCGCGUGUGUGAAGAAGGCCUUCGGGUUGUAAAGCACUUUUGUCCGGAAAGAAAUCGCACUUACUGAUAUUAGGUGUGGAUGACGGUACCGGAAGAAUAAGGACCGGCUAACUACGUGCCAGCAGCCGCGGUAAUACGUAGGGUCCAAGCGUUAAUCGGAAUUACUGGGCGUAAAGCGUGCGCAGGCGGUUGUGCAAGACCGAUGUGAAAUCCCCGGGCUUAACCUGGGAAUUGCAUUGGUGACUGCACGGCUAGAGUGUGUCAGAGGGGGGUAGAAUUCCACGUGUAGCAGUGAAAUGCGUAGAGAUGUGGAGGAAUACCGAUGGCGAAGGCAGCCCCCUGGGAUAACGCUGACGCUCAUGCACGAAAGCGUGGGGAGCAAACAGGAUUAGAUACCCCCGUAGUCC